CCUAAAGCUGAACACAGGACUCUCUGAUCAAGCAACUUGGGCAGACAAAAUUCUAUCUUUGUGGAAAGUUUCUGACCAAAGAUUUGGGAAAAUAAUAAACACAGAGUUAUAGAACGGAUGAAGUUGGAAGUGACUUCUGGAGGUCACUUGGUUCAACCCCUGCUCCAGCAGGGACACCCAGAGCAGGGUGCCCAGCACUAUAUCCAGUGGCUUUUGGAGAUCUCCAAGGAGGACACCCCACAACCUCUUGGCAACCAGCACAGUACAGAAAUGCUCCUGCUCAUCUGAGGGAACCUCCUGUGCUCCAGUUUGCACUCAUUGCCUCUUGUCUUGGCACUGCUGGACAGAUCCUGGCCCCAGGGAGCUGCACUCAGCCAGCCCCCACGGCCCCAUGCUGGAGCAAAACGCUUCUGAGUUCUGACUUGCACUGGAAUGUUUGCUUCAUGCACAGCUGACACUGUUUUGUAACACAUAAACACACUGCUGCUAAAACCUAAGUGGUGUAAUUGCUGGUCUUUGAAAAUUCUAAUUAUAUGGAGUAUUAGGAAAUAACUCAAGAACUUGGAUAAGGUCAGGAGAUUUGGAUGAGCUGUCAGUGACGCAACCUCUGUGCCUCCAACUCCCUGCAAAUUAAUCAUUUUCCACACUUAAUGUCUACAUUCUCCUUCUCCUCAUAACACGAUGCUGCGGGCAAUAUGCUUCAUAGGGUGUCCUACAUCCUUCCUUGCUCCAUCACAGCAGCCUUUGUCCUGCUCAGCCCCAUCACCCAGGCUGCCCUCCCGCAAUUUCACUUUUGUAAGGUGAAGCAUGCCCUCCUUGGGCAGGUCCUAUAUCCAAAAAUUCCUACCUGACACUUCCAGUGGGUUGCAGACACUGCUGGUGCAUCAACCGUCACACCAUGGCAGUUAACCCAUUACCUGCAGGGGCAAAAGAGAAAGCAACAGCAACGGACCACAAUCCUUAGAUGUAUCUACAAUCACAGUUCCUUACCUUCCUUUGCUGAAAUGCUGAGAUUCUCAAAGGUUUGGAAAAGCUGCUUAAAUGCCUUGGAGGAACAUGGCUUCAAUUACUUCUCUCAUCUGUAUUCCAUCCAUUUGCCUUGCUCACUGCUAUAAUCAGAGGGGAUGCAGUCAAAUAUCUCCCCAUCUCCUGUACAUCCCCAGGCAAUAAUUCAUGGUAGACAAUAGCAGCAUAUCUACUCAUCACAGCUGGCAUCGUGACCUAGAAAAAAGGAUGAUGAGGAAAAUAAAGGAGCUUCUUGCACAUGAAUAUGUGUAUACACAGACUCAACAGAACACAGAGUCUUCAGGGAAGAGCAGAGAGGCUUUCUUGUUCUUACA
rnacentral:lncRNA from 1 species